rnacentral:rRNA from 1 species
GACGAACGCUGGCGGCGUGCUUAACACAUGCAAGUCGAACGGAAAGGCCCUGCUUGCAGGGUACUCGAGUGGCGAACGGGUGAGUAACACGUGGGUGAUCUGCCCUGCACUUCGGGUUAAGCCUGGGAAACUGGGCCUAAUACCGGAUAGGAGCCAUUUUUAGUGUGAUGGUUGGAAAGUUUUUUCGGUGUUGGAUGUGGUGGCGGCGUAUCGGCUUGUUGGUGGGGUAAGGGCCUACCAAGGCGGGGGCGGGUAGCCGGCCUGAGGGGGUGGCCGGCCACACUGGCACCUACGGGAGGCCCAGACUGCGACGGGAGGCAGCAGUGGGGAAUCUUGACGGAGGGGCGCAAGGCGGAUGCAGCGAGGCCGCGUGGAGGAUGACGGCCUUAUGGUUGAAGAACCAAUUCGUUAGGGACGAAGCUUUUUGUGACGGUACCUAGAUAAGAAGCACCGGCUAACUACGUG